rnacentral:rRNA from 1 species
AUUGACCGCUGGCGGCAGGCUUAACACAUGCAAGUCGAACGAGUGGCGGACGGGUGAGUAAUGUCUGGGAAACUUCCCGAUGUUGUUGGAUAACUCCUGUAAACGGUAGCUAAUACCGCAUACCAUCGGAUGUGCCCAGAUGGGAAUAGCUAGUUGUUGGGGUAACGGCUCACCUAGGCGACGAUCCCUAGCUGGUCUGAGAGGAUGACCAGCCACACUGGAACUGAGACACGGGCCAGACUCCUACGGGAGGCAGCAGUGGGGAAUAGUGCACAAUGGGCGCAAGCCUGAUGCAGCCAUGCCGCGUGUAUGAAGAAGGCCUUCGGGUUGUAAAGUACUUUCAGCGAGGAGGCGUUACUCGCAGAAGAAGCACCGGCUAACUCCGUGCCAGCAGCCGCGGUAAUUC